GGGGGCAAYYYUGACCGARCAACGCCGCGUGAGUGAAGAAGGUUUUCGGAUCGUAAAGCUCUGUUGUAAGUCAAGAACGAGUGUGAGAGUGGAAAGUUCACACUGUGACGGUAGCUUACCAGAAAGGGACGGCUAACUACGUGCCAGCAGCCGCGGUAAUACGUAGGGUGCAAGCGUUAUCCGGAAUUAUUGGGCGUAAAGGGCUCGUAGGCGGUUCKUYKCGCCCGGUGUGAAAGUCCAUCGCUUAACGGUGGAUCCGCGCCGGGUACGGGCGGGCUUGAGUGCGGUAGGGGAGACUGGAAUUCCCGGUGUAACGGUGGAAUGUGUAGAUAUCGGGAAGAACACC
rnacentral:rRNA from 1 species